AUGGGAUGCUGGCGACAAGAUAGAAGAAGAACAAGAAGAAGACCCCGAGGAUGUAUUUG
rnacentral:sRNA from 1 species